GUGUUCCAUCCAUCCAAAAUCAGAACACAAGAGUGAAUCAGUGAGAUAAAGCUGUGUAUGAAAAUGAAGAUUGUGUUUGUAACAUUCUUCACUCUACUAGUUGUGUUUGCUGCGGCUCAAGAGUCAUCAAAUGGCUUAACCUGUGACCAGGAAAAAUCCUUAUUCGCACCAUGCUUUGAUUUUCUGACCAAGAAAACUGAUGCACCUGCAACUUCUUGCUGCCAAGGCUUGAAACAAAUCAUAUCUUCAGCAUCCACAAAGGAAGAAAAACAAGCUGCAUGCUCGUGCCUUAAGGACGCAGCCUCUAAAUUUCUUCCUAACAUAGACAAAGACAGAGCCAAUCAUAUCUGCCAAACGUGCAAAAGCUCAACGGACUUGGGUUGCCAAAAACUUCAUUAAUCUGGAGGCUUGAGCGGGAUACGUGGUUUUAGAAGCGAUGGAUUAUGCAUUGAAUUUGGUACUUUUGUAAAAUAAUAAGAUUGUUCCGUGUCCUUCGCUCAACGGACAUUAUUAUGUUCGAAUUGAUGAUUAAUAAAUAUGUUUUAUAUA